rnacentral:rRNA from 1 species
AUGCAUCUCUCGCUGUGGAAGCCGCUGUCGCAGUGCGCGGCGAUGCUCAUGGACAAGCGGCACCGCCCGCCGCGGCCGCCGGCGCCUGGCGCCGGGGCGGGGUCCGGCGGCGGGCGGCGGCUGCAGGAGAGCAAGCUGCGGGAGGCGCUGGAGGAGGCCUCCGAGGACGGGUGCCUCACCAAGUCCCGCGACGCGGCGCUGCUCGACGACGGGGACGGCGGGGAGGAGGGGGCCGGCUCCGGCUCCGUCAGCCGGUCGCGGUCGCUGGCGCGGCUCAACGCGCAGCGCGAGUUCCUGCGCGCCACGGCGGUGGCCGCGGAGCGCGCCUUCCUGUCGCCCGACGCGCUCCCGGCGCUGGCCGAGGCCCUCGCCACGUUCCUCUCCAUGUACCCCAAGUACGCGUCGUCGGCGGACGUCGACCGCCUCCGCUCCGGCGAGUACCCGCACCUCGACAAGGCGUGCCUCGACUACUGCGGCUUCGGCCUCUUCUCCUACCUCCAGAGCUGCAGCCCCGCCGACUCCUCCGUCUCCUUCACGCUCUCCGAGAUCACCGCCAACCUCAGCAACCACGCGCUCUACGGCGCCGCCGAGAAGGGCACCGCCGAGCACGACAUCAGGAGCCGCAUCAUGGACUACCUCAACAUCCCGGAGUCGGAGUACUGCCUCGUCUUCACCGUCAGCCGCGGCUCCGCCUUCCGGCUGCUCGCCGAGUGCUACCCCUUCGCCACCAACAAGAAGCUGCUCACCAUGUUCGACCACGAGUCCCAGUCCGUCAACUGGAUGGCUCAGUCCGCCAGGGACAAGGGGGCCAAGGCCUACUCCGCCUGGUUCAAGUGGCCCACCCUCAAGAUCUGCUCCACCGAGCUCCGAGACCUGAUAUCCACCAAGAAGCGCCGACGCAAGAAGGACUCUGCCACUGGCUUAUUCGUGUUCCCGGUGCAGUCCAGGGUGACCGGCGCAAAGUACUCAUAUCAGUGGAUGGCAUUGGCGCAGCAGAAUAACUGGCAUGUUCUGCUGGACGCCGGCGCAUUGGGGCCUAAGGACAUGGACUCGCUGGGGUUGUCGUUGUUCCGGCCGGAUUUCAUCAUCACAUCAUUCUAUAGGGUGUUUGGAGCUGAUCCUACGGGUUUCGGCUGCUUGCUCAUCAAGAAGUCCGUGAUGUCUUGCUUGCAGAGCCCGAAUGGCGGGACUGGGGCAGGGAUGGUGCGGAUUCUGCCGGUCUUCCCGCAGUAUCUUAGUGAUUCGGUCGAUGGGUUUGAUGGUGUCCAGGAUGGCCUUGAGGAUGAUAUGAUCAUUCCAAUCGAGGAGGAGUCGUCGACGAUGAACAGUCACCAAGCAUCUCAAUUACCUGCGUUCUCGGGUGCGUAUUCCUCAGCUCAGGUGAGGGAGGUGAUUGAGGAGAGCGAAUUGGACCAGGACAGCUCAGAUAGAGAUGGCGCCAGCACGAUUUACGAGGAGAAUGAGAGUGUGUCCGUUGGGGAGGUGAUGAAGAGCCCAGUAUUCAGCGAGGAUGAAAUGUCAGAGGGCUCUUUCUGGGUUGAUUUGGGCCAUAGUCCACAUGGUUCAGACCAUUCAGAACAGGGGAAGUUGGGAUCUCCAUUGCCUGCAUCCUGGUUUGCUGGUAGGAAGAAUGCAAAGAAGACAUCACCAAAGGUGCCAUCCAAAGUGGCAAGGAGCCCUGUUUAUGACAACCAUGUCGUGUCCUUCGAUGCGGCUGUGAGGUCAGUAUCACAAGAGCUAGAGCAUGUGAAGGAAAUUCCAGAGGAAGAUUGUUCAUAUAAUGGCAAGGUCAGCGAAGAUUGUUCAUAUACCGGCAAGGUCAGCGAAAUUGAAGAAUGUCAGGAUGGUCAUGAAAAUAAGAGGUUUGUAAAAUUCUCUUGUGACAAUGGCCGCACACAAGGCAGUUCGGCGUCUGUUUUUGGGGGUUAUGCUGCAAAUGGGAAUGGCUCCACUUCGGAGAUUUGCUCAGAAAACCAGGUUGAAGCGAAAGACAGUGCCAUCAGAAGGGAGACAGAGGGUGAGUUCCGUCUACUGGGAAGGAGGGAGGCACCCAAUAGCAGAUUCAAUGGUGGCAGGCUCUUUGGAGUGGAAGAAGCGGAACGAGUGCCAAGUAUGGGGCGCAAGGUAUCAUUCACCAUGGAGGAUAGUAAGCUGUGUCGUAAUGCUGACGCUGGGGAGACAUCUGGAUAUGCAGUGGGAGAAGAAGAAGAAGAAGAUGAUGAUGCAUACAGCGACUACGAUGAGAUUCAGGAUGGCAGGCGAGAACCUGAAAUCAUCUGUAGGCACCUUGAUCAUGUGAACAUGCUGGGUCUUAGUAAGACAACGCUAAGGUUGCGUUACUUGAUCAAUUGGUUAGUGACCUCGCUACUGCAGCUUCGGUUGCCUGAUUCUGGAGACGGUGAUGGGGUUCCCCUUGUCUAUAUCUAUGGCCCGAAGAUAAAAUAUGAACGUGGAGCAGCAGUUGCGUUCAAUAUAAAGGACUGCAACACCGGAACUUCACUGAUCAAUCCUGAAACUGUACAGAAGAUGGCAGAGAAAGAAGGGCUCAAUGUUGGCGUCGGUUUUCUGAGUCAUAUACGCCUCAUGGACAACCAGAAACAUGGGGUGGCUGAUGUGGGCCUCAGCUCUUCCCUGUGUCGGCCUACGUCAAACGGCCGACAUGAGAAGAAAAAUAGCAAAAAUGCCAUUGUUGGGAUCGAAGUCGUCACUGCUUCUCUUGGGUUCCUUACAAACUUUGACGAUGUCUACAGGUUAUGGGCAUUUGUUGCAAAAUUUCUGGACUCAUCGUUUCUUGAACAGGAGAGGCUGUCGUCGAUCCCCGAGGAUGCAGAAAGAUAG